rnacentral:misc_RNA from 1 species
GAUGAAGAACGCAGCGAAAUGCGAUAAGUAAUGUGAAUUGCAGAAUUCAGUGAAUCAUCGAAUCUUUGAACGCACCUUGCACUCCUUGGUAUUCCGAGGAGUACGCCUGUUCGAGUAUUAUGAAGCUCUCAAAACGCAAUUGGCUUAAAACCUGAUUGUUGUUUUGGAUUUGAACUUUGCCGUGUUAUAACGGCUGGUUUUAAAAGUAUUAGCUGGUACUAGAACGAAUUGGUUCUACUCAACGUGAUAAUUAUCUGAUCGUUGAGGACAUUCCUUUCACGAGGAAUGGCCAUAGUAAAUUCAAUGGACUGCUUCUAAUCUGGCUUUAAUUCUUUAUUGGAUUAACCACUUUUCAAAUCUGACCUCGAAUCAGGUGGGACUACCCGCUGAACUUAAGCAUAUCAAUAAGCGGAGGA